CCCCUCCAAAGAGAUUCAAGUUUAAGGUUUUAUCGCCGAAAUCCCGGUGGUAACUUAUUCUCUAAACUUACUGUACAAUAUUUAUUAUAAACAUUUUUUCCAUGUUCCUAGGAAAUCGAUGUAUCAAGGAAAAACCUUGUAGAUAUAUCUACUGAAUGUGUUGUAAUUCCCUUGGUUUUCUCUUGCACUGCUACUCUUGACAUUGCCUCUUUUCUACCAACAAUUUCAUGUGCCCUUCUGCCAGCUAAGACUCCUUUCCUGUAGUUAAUGUACACACCUCUUGCGUUAGUUCCUAUAUGCCAAGUCUCCGGUACGGUACGUCACUAAGGAAUAAUUGUUAUGGAUAGACUCCGAAUUUCCGCUUUGCCAAUUCAAAUCUACAACUUCAACAUCUUGUCAUUUUCUAGCUUACCCGGAUGGACAGCUGGGGUUUGAUAUUGACAUCAAACAGUAUCCAAAACUGACGACUGGGUGGCAACAACAACAACAGAUUGACACCUCAGCAAUGCAAUGCUGUUCAAGCACAGGGAUGGAAACCCUGUGAGACUUUAGGGAUCUGGAUCUAGAUUUUAUACGUGUCUUUGAAUUCAGGAUGCGAGAUUCGGCAGCUAUAUACCUAUAUACCUUGUUUAUAUAACCCGUUGUUUUGUGAGGAUUUUCUCUAAGAGACUUUUUGAAAGUUAUUGAGUUCAAGCUGCUUGCUCCUCCUCCUCUCCCAGCCGACCGAAACAGGGUCUCGAUCCCAAUUUUCAUGCUCUUAUUUAUAUGAUGGGUGGAAACGGAGAUAAUGGCCUACUCUGAUUUUUGCAGAUACAUACAUGUAUUUGAUCAGGUCGAUCCGUUUAUUCAUUACAUGUUUAAUACACAGGCAAUGCAAUCUAAAGUAGGCUCCUGACUUCAUCAACAUGUACUGUACAGCACAUGGGCAUACGUUCUUAGAAAGUUACACACCUGCGG
rnacentral:sRNA from 2 species